CAUAAUACAGAAAAUGAUGUGAUUGCACUUUUCCGUAAAAUAGUAUCGAAAUUUAUUAAAGAUGGACGGAGAAAGCACAAAAAUUCGUAGAACACCUCAGCAGUUUUUAUUCGUACAAAAGGUGACUGGGAAGUGUGAAGACGUUCAGCGGAUUUGGGCCAGCUAUGCAACAAAAAGUCGGUAACUAAAGAGAGAGGAGCACUGGAUUCUUUUUUUGUAUUUAGCUUUUCAUUUUGCAGCUUAUGAAAAGCUGUUAAAGCUACCAUUUGUAUAGCAGAAGAAGUUUCAGAAUUAGCAAG